AGCGACUAAGCGUACACGGUGGAUGCCCUGGCAGUCAGAGGCGAUGAAGGGCGUGCUAAUCUGCGAUAAGCGUCGGUAAGGUGAUAUGAACCGUUAUACCCGACGAUACCCGAAUGGGGAAACCCGGUGCAAUCCGUUGCAUCAUCGCAACAUGAAUACAUAGUGUUGCGAGGCGAACCGGGGGAACUGAAACAUCUAAGUACCCCGAGGAAAAGAAAUCAACCGAGAUUCCCCCAGUAGCGGCGAGCGAACGGGGAGGAGCCCGGAACCAUCAUCAGCGGUUGCGUCAGUGGAAGCGUCUGGAAAGUCGCACGAUACAGGGUGAAAGUCCCGUACACGAAGAUACAGCCGUUGUGAGUUCGAAGAGUAGGGCGGGACACGUGGUAUCCUGUCUGAAUAUGGGGGGACCAUCCUCCAAGGCUAAAUACUCCUGACUGACCGAUAGUGAACCAGUACCGUGAGGGAAAGGCGAAAAGAACCCCGGCGAGGGGAGUGAAACAGAACCUGAAACCGUGUACGUACAAGCAGUGGGAGCCUCAUUUAUGGGGUGACUGCGUACCUUUUGUAUAAUGGGUCAGCGACUUGUAUUCUGUAGCAAGGUUAACCGAAUAGGGGAGCCGAAGGGAAACCGAGUCUUAACCGGGCGUUAAGUUGCAGGGUACAGACCCGAAACCCGGUGAUCUAGCCAUGGGCAGGUUGAAGGUUGGGUAACACUAACUGGAGGACCGAACCGACUGAUGUUGAAAAAUCAGCGGAUGACCUGUGGCUGGGGGUGAAAGGCCAAUCAAACCGGGAGAUAGCUGGUUCUCCCCGAAAGCUAUUUAGGUAGCGCCUCGUGAAYUCAUCUCCGGGGGUAGAGCACUGUUUCGGCUAGGGGGCCAUCCCGGCUUACCAACCCGAUGCAAACUGCGAA
rnacentral:rRNA from 1 species